rnacentral:rRNA from 1 species
GACGAACGCUGGCGGCGUGCUUAACACAUGCAAGUCGAACGGAAAGGCCCUGCUUUUGUGGGGUGCUCGAGUGGCGAACGGGUGAUUAACACGUGAGUAACCUGCCCUUGACUUUGGGAUAACUUCAGGAAACUGGGGCUAAUACCGGAUAGGAGCUCCUGCUGCAUGGUGGGGGUUGGAAAGUUUCGGCGGUUGGGGAUGGACUCGCGGCUUAUCAGCUUGUUGGUGGGGUAGUGGCUUACCAAGGCUUUGACGGGUAGCCGGCCUGAGAGGGUGACCGGACACAUUGGGACUGAGAUACGGCCCAGACUCCUACGGGAGGCAGGGGUGGAGAAUAUUGCACAAUGGGCGGAAGCCAGAUGCAGCAACGCCGCGUGCGGGAAGCCGGGCCUCGGGUUGUAAACCGCUUUCGCCGGUGACGAGGAGUGAGUGACGGUAAUGGGUAAAGAAGCACCGGCUAACUACGUG